rnacentral:rRNA from 1 species
UACGAAGGGUGCAAGCGUUACUCGGAAUUACUGGGCGUAAAGCGUGCGUAGGUGGUUCGUUAAGUCUGAUGUGAAAGCCCUGGGCUCAACCUGGGAAUGGCAUUGGAAACUGGCGACCUAGAGUGCGGUAGAGGGCAGUGGAAUUCCCGGUGUAGCAGUGAAAUGCGUAGAGAUCGGGAGGAACAUCUGUGGCGAAGGCGACUGUCUGGACCAGCACUGACACUGAGGCACGAAAGCGUGGGGAGCAAACAGG